rnacentral:rRNA from 1 species
UCGGGAAUCUUGGACAAUGGGCGCAAGCCUGAUCCAGCCAUGCCGCGUGAGUGAUGAAGGCCUUAGGGUUGUAAAGCUCUUUUACCAGGGAUGAUAAUGACAGUACCUGGAGAAUAAGCUCCGGCUAACUCCGUGCCAGCAGCCGCGGUAAUACGGAGGGAGCUAGCGUUGUUCGGAAUUACUGGGCGUAAAGGGCGCGUAGGCGGCUCUUCAAGUCAGCCGUGAAAUCUCCGGGCUUAACCUGGAAGGGUCGGUUGAUACUGUCGAGCUAGAGUGUAGAAGAGGCAACUGGAAUUCCGUGUGUAGCGGUGAAAUGCGUAGAUAUACGGAGGAACACCUGCGGCGAAGGCGGGUUGCUGGGCUAACACUGACGCUGAGGCGCGAAAGCUAGGGUAGCAAACGGGAUUAGAUACCCCGGUAGUCCCUGAGCGGGCUGGCAAGGCGCAU